rnacentral:rRNA from 1 species
UGCCAGCCGCCGCGGUAAUACGGAGGGGGUUAGCGUUGUUCGGAAUUACUGGGCGUAAAGCGUACGUAGGCGGAUUAUUAAGUGAGGGGUGAAAUCCCAGGGCUCAACCCUGGAACUGCCUCUCAUACUGGUAGUCUUGAGGUCGAGAGAGGUGAGUGGAAUUCCGAGUGUAGAGGUGAAAUUCGUAGAUAUUCGGAGGAACACCAGUGGCGAAGGCGGCUACCUGGUCCGGAUCUGACGCUGAGGCGCGAAAGCGCCGGGAGCUAACCGGAUCAGAUA